rnacentral:rRNA from 1 species
CAAGAUCUUAAAUAUAUUGAUGAGUGUGAAGCAAUGAGGCUUAAAAACGAGUAUCACGAAAUCACAAAAAUGUUAAGCGGGUUGAUAACCUCACUCCAAAAAUAAUCAAUUCACUGUUCACUGUUCUCUGUUCCCUGUUCUCUGGAUCAGUAGCGGAACGUUCCGUAGGUCUGUGAAGGUCAAUCGUGAGAUUGGCUGGAGAUAUCGGAAGUGCGAAUGCUGACAUAAGUAACGACAAACAGGGUGAGAAACCCUGUCGCCGAAAGUCCAAGGGUUCCUACGCAAGGUUAAUCCGCGUAGGGUUAGUCGGCCCCUAAGGCGAGGGUGAAAACCGUAGCCGAUGGGAAUCAGGUUAAUAUUCCUGAACCUGCUAAAGUGACGAAGGCUGAAAUCUGUAUGUUAUGAUUGGAUUUAACAUGCAGGCUAAGACUUCCAGGAAAUAACUUUAGCGUGUAGACCGUACCCGAAACCGACACAGGUGGACACGUAGAGUAUACGAAGGCGCUUGAGAGAACGAUGUUGAAGGAACUCGGCAAAUUACCUCCGUAACUUCGGAAUAAGGAGGCCCUGCUCUGGGCAACCAGGGACAGGGGGCACAUACUAGGGAGAAGCGACUGUUUAACAAAAACACAGGGCUCUGCUAAAUCGAAAGAUGAUGUAUAGGGUCUGACGCCUGCCCGGUGCUGGAAGGUUAAAAGGAGGGGUGCAAGCUCUGAAUUGAAGCCCCAGUAAACGGCGGCCGUAACUAUAACGGUCCUAAGGUAGCGAAAUUCCUUGUCGGGUAAGUUCCGACCUGCACGAAUGGCGUAACGACUUCUUCGCUGUCUCCAACAUCGACUCAGUGAAAUUGAACUCGCAGUGAAAAUGCUGCGUUCCCGCGGUUAGACGGAAAGACCCCGUGCACCUUUACUGCAACUUUACAGUGGCAUUAGAAAAGCAAUGUGUAGGAUAGGUGGGAGCCUAUGAAGUCCUGGCGCCAGCCAGGAUGGAGGCAACCUUGAAAUACCACCCUUUUCUUUUCUGAUGUCUAACCGAGGCCCGUGAUCCGGGUCCGGGACCCUGUAUGGUGGGCAGUUUGACUGGGGCGGUCGCCUCCCAAAGAGUAACGGAGGCGCGCAAUGGUAGGCUCAAGCUGGUCGGAAAUCAGCCCUUGAGUGCAAUGGCAUAAGCCUGCCUGACUGCAAGACGUACAUGUCAAGCAGAGACGAAAGUCGGUCAUAGUGAUCCGGUGGUUCCUCGUGGAAGGGCCAUCGCUCAACGGAUAAAAGGUACGCCGGGGAUAACAGGCUGAUCU